GUAAGCACCAAAAGCCACAGAUAAAGAAAGACGUACCAUUCUGCGCAUCGGCAGUUUUGCUCUAGCCACAGCUGCGUUUGCAACAGAGAAGAAACCUACUAUUCAUUACAUCAGAAAAGUCAUUCGGAGAGACUCCAAUCAACAAUGAGUAUCACUUUCCGAAUGAACGUUGCAGUUUUAAUCUUGGUGGCAAUCACAAUUAUGACAGAGGGGCAGCGUGAUUUUAACUGCAGACCAGGACCCCUUCGACGGAGAGGAGUUUGUAUUCCUAGGAAUGAAGGUAGACCUGCCUCAUCAAGACGACCUCCAGCGCGUCCUUUCGAUCGUCCGCAUCAAAUAGGGGGCCUACCUCCUCCAAUUGGUUUAAAUCCUGACAAGUGUCGAAUGGUCUGCUCGACUAUUCAUCAGCCGGUCUGCGAUAGCAAUGGGGUGUUGUACGGAAACAGUUGUGAAUUUGAAGUCAUUCGUUGCAGAAAUCCUUCUAUUGAAAGAGGAUCCUGUUAAUUGUCACUGGUAAAAAUACCAAUAAACUGCUCAUGUCUACGACAUUUAACGAACCUGCACCUCUCUCUCUCUCUCUCUCUCUCUCUCUCUCUCUCUCUCUCUCUCUCUCUCUCUUUCUCUCUCUCUCUCUCUCUCUCUCUCUCUCUCUCUCUCUCUCUCUCUCUCUCUCUCUCUCUCUCUCUCUCUCUCUCUCUCUCUCUCUCUCUCUCUCUCUCUCUCUCUCUCUCUCUCUCUCUCUCUCUCUCUCUCUCUCUCUCUCUCUCAUUUCUUGCCGGUGACAGAACAGGUGGGAAGCUUUUGUCGUUGCCCGCUCAAAGACUGCACUGGGUCGUCUCCAAAACGGUUGCAUGCAUCUCAUACAUGGUUACUUCUGUCGCAGGAAAAACACAACCAUGCUGUGGCGAUUGAUUAGUCCACCUUAUAGCAAUGGUUAGAAUAGUUAUCGCAGUGUCCCAAUCUAGUGAGCUUGCGUAGACGAUACUAUUUUUGUUGUCACGGUGAAAAUAGAACCUUUUGCAUUUUUCUGAUAUUUGGAAAGUUCCUCAUGUUUCCCUACAAUAAUAAUAUUUUGAAUAGGGUAUAACUUCUCAUUUUGAAUAUCAGGUAUUUUAAUUACUUUACUAGUAUCAGAUAGAAUGUGCAUGUUGCAUCAAUGAGAUCAUGGAACCAAGUGUGGUUUGGAUCAGUAGGGGUCAUUCUCUACGUCUGCACAGGAUCCCCUAAAGCGGAGGUGCCUCUGGUGAUUUUUCUCUACCAGUUGGAGAGACCUGAGGAGGUAUUAUGUUGAUUCUCCUUGAAAUGAUUAGUGCUUCCGUGUCAGAGACACAUCUCUGUGUGCUGAAUGCAUAACAGAGAUUGUACUUUCUAGCAUGGAGGUGUACAUUCCUAACUCUUUCUCUUAAAACUAGAUCUUUCAAACUUUGGUUAAACACAGCCUGUUCUCGUGUUAUAUAUGAGAGAGAGGUUGCCCACAAAAGGUACGUGAGCCUUCCAUCACCUGAAUCGCAUGUGUUUUAUAUGUCUGCCCAGAAUCAUGCCAACUCUGUUCUCCAAUCUGCCAAACACUCCUUCAUUAUGAAAAAAUGUCAAAAUCUUUCGAGAUCCAACUUUCCUCGAGACUUUUGGCAUCUGGCCAAAAAUAUCUCCAAUAACUUUACUUCUUAAUCUUUCCCUCCUUUAUUUCAGCCUGAUGGCACCACUGCCAUCACAUCUGGCUCUGAAGUUGAACUCUUCUCUCAAAGUUUUGCUAAUAACACUACGUUGGAUGAUUCUUGGCUAGUCCUUCCCUCUCCUUCAUCUGACUAUUUCAUGGCAUCGUUUGAAUUAUUCAUUAUGAUGUUUUCCAUGCUCUCGCUGCCCUAAACCAUCAGAAUGCUUAUGAACCUGAUGGGGUCCCUCCUAUUGUUUUCAAAAACUGUAUCUCCUUGCUUACACUUUGCCAAGGGACAUUUUUGUCCAUGUAUGGAGUGCUCUUCGCAUGUAUGAGGGGGUUCCACUCGUACAAGUUUAUUAGAUAUGAUAGAAUCAAAAGCUUUUUGCCUUAUCAAUUCCUUUCUUCGGAUUGACUGUCUUCAACCUCUUUUUCACUGCCGCAGUGUUGCGGCUCUUGCUAUCUUCUACCACUGUUUUCAUAGCAACUGCUCUUCUGAUCUUACUAACUUUUUCCUCCUCCUCCUUUCCUCCUCCCGCGGCCUUACAACACAAGACUUUUCUUCCUUUUCACCCUUUAUAUGUACACUUCUAAUGCAAGAGUUAACCUUUACACUCAACCAUCCAUACAUUUCUUUGGUAAACUCUAUAGCUCCCUACAUACUUCUGUAUUUCCACAUUCCUAUGACUUGAACUGAUUUAUGAGAGAGGUUUCCAGACAUUUAUCCCUUUUUUUGGCUAACACUCUUGGAUCUGGAAGGGAACUGGCAGUUAAGUGGCUAUUUUUGUUUACUCUUUUUGUUGCCCUUGGCCAGAUUUCACCUCUUACUCAAAGAGUGUGUCUUCAAUCUUACUAACGUCUAGAUUUUUAUUCCCAUCUGCCCUCUCAUGAGUUGUUGGUAGUACACCUUUGCUAUUUUACAAAAAAAAAUUGUUAAAACUUUUUUUCUACAUAACUUUUUUGUUCUAGUCAAUGAGAGUGACGGCUUCCUUCUUUGUGGCUACCGAACUCAAGCUAUUUGAAAUAUAAAAAAAAGUUAUUUCUUACAAUUUUAGUUAAGUCAGAUUCAUACUUAUAGUUAUCUGCAGCUUUCUGCAGUUCAAAGUUAGUUACACUUGGAGAUAAUGUUGCCCCAAACAAGUGAGCUGGUAUUCUGAAUUCAGCUGUGAUCCUCAAGGUCAACCAGAGAAAUAUUAACGUCUUUAUGCUUUAGGUUUAUCUUCAAUUAGUGGUACGUUGCUUUUACACCACAUGUGAGUGCAAUAUUUUCUUGGCUUAACCUGUAUAACACUUUAACAAGUUUGUUCAAAUGGUAAUUUGUAACAGAUGAUUUACACUACAAUAAAAUUUAACUCUCAA